rnacentral:rRNA from 1 species
GAGGAAGUAAAAGUCGUAACAAGGUUUCCGUAGGUGAACCUGCGGAAGGUCAUUAUCGUACUACAGAGGUGCGAGGGCUGUCGCUGACCUUUUUCAAAGGUCGUGCACGCCCGAGCGCUCUCGCCUACAAUCCACCUCACCACUUGUGCAUCACCGCGCGGGGCCUCCCUCUUGGCUCGCUUCGAGAGAGGCUCGCGUUCUUCACAUCACACACACACACCUUUUUAGUUUUGAAUGUCAUUCAUUUGCGAUAACACGCAAUCAAUACAACUUUCAACAACGGAUCUCUUGGCUCUCGCAUCGAUGAAGAACGCAGCGAAAUGCGAUACGUAAUGUGAAUUGCAGAAUUCAGUGAAUCAUCGAAUCUUUGAACGCACCUUGCGCCCCUUGGCAUUCCGAGGGGCACACCCGUUUGAGUGUCGUGAAAUUCUCAAACCUUCUUGGUUUCUUGACCAAGAUGGCUUUGGACUUUGGAGGUGUUGUGCUGGCUUUGCAAAAAGUCGGCUCCUCUUAAAUGCAUUAGUGGGGUCCCCUUUGCCAAUCCCCAGGCGUGAUAAGAUGUUUCUACGUCUUGGGAUUUGCUCUGUUCACUGGGAACCUGCUGCCAACCGUCUCGUGAGAGACAUCGUUCGAGCUUGCUCGGCACACGAAUCUUGACCUCAAAUCGGGUGAGACUACCCGCUGAACUUAAGCAUAUCAAUAAGCCGGAGGAAUACUGUGCU